rnacentral:lncRNA from 1 species
GAAGCACGAUACAGUAAGAUGGACAGAAAACUUAUUAUAAAGACUAUGAAAUGGGCACCGGAAAACAAGUUGGUCUUCACGAGAGAAGAUAAGACGAAGAAGGUGGUCUUGUUAGAACAGAGCAAGUAUGAUGCCUUUUUACAGAAAUAUAUAGAGGACUCCUGCCCAGAAAGACUAGAUACAGAUCUGACCCUAAGGCUAGCAGAGAAACUAAGGAGAAUAAUGAGCAAAGAAUCCUUCCCUAGUUUCUGGAAACAUGAGACGGUACCAGACCCAGUAUGCCCUCGAUUGUUUACUUUCAUAAAAAC